GGGCUCUUAGCUCAGGGGUAGAGCGCACGCUUCGCAUGCGUGAGGUCGUGGGUUCGAUUCCCACAGUGUCCA
rnacentral:tRNA from 1 species